UGGGGAAUAUUGGGCAAUGGGCGAAAGCCUGACCCAGCGACACCGCGUGAGGGAAGAAGGUCUUCGGAUUGUAAACCUUAAAUAACAGGGACGAAAGAAAUGACGGUACCUGUUGGGAAGCCACGGCUAACUACGUGCCAGCAGCCGCGGUAAUACGUAGGUGGCAAGCGUUAUCCGGAUUUACUGGGUGUAAAGGGCGCGUAGGCGGGGGAUGCAAGUCAGAUGUGAAAUCUAUGGGCUUAAACCCAUAAACUGCAUUUGAAACUGUAUCUCUUGAGUGUCGGAGAGGUAGACGGAAUUCCUAGUGUAGCGGUGAAAUGCGUAGAUAUUAGGAGGAACACCAGUGGCGAAGGCGGUCUACUGGACGAUAACUGACGCUGAGGCGCGAAAGCGUGGGGAG
rnacentral:rRNA from 1 species